GUCUUUUUGUAAUUUUAUUUAAAGUCUAACCUGCCCAAUGAUUUAUAUUUAAUGGCUGCAGUAUUUUAACUGUACGAAGGUAGCAUAAUCAUUUGUUUAUUAAUUGUAGACUUGUAUGAAGGGUCUUAUAAAGAUUAAACUUUCUUAUUUAUAUAUAUAUGAAUUUAAUUUUUUAGUUAGAAAGCUAAGAUUUUUUUAUAGGACGAGAAGACCCUAUAGAACUUAAACUUAUAUAAUAAUAUUAAUAUUAUUAUAUAAGUUGAGUUGGGGAGAUUUUAAUUUUUAAUUAACAAUUAUUUAUUUUGAUCAAUAAUUUUUGAUUUUUUGAUCCAAUUUUUUUUUGAUUAUAAGAUUAAGUUACCUUAGGGAUAACAGCGUAAUUUAUUUGGAGAGUUCUUAUCGAUAAUUUAAGUUUGCGA
rnacentral:rRNA from 1 species